rnacentral:rRNA from 1 species
GAGUGCGAUCAUACCAGCACUAAUGCAUCGGAUCCCAUCAGAAUUGCGUAGUCAAGCGUGCUUGGGUGAGAGUAGUACUAGGAUGGGUGACCUCCAGGGAAGUCCUCGUGUUGCAACCC